rnacentral:rRNA from 1 species
AACACAUGCAAGUCGAGCGAGAACCUGCUUCGGGCCUGGGGCAAAGCCGCGAACGGGUGAGUAACACGUGGGUAACCCACCCUUGGUACCGGGAUAGCCCGAGGAAACUCGGAUUAAUACCGGAUGGCCCAACAGCUCUUCGGGGCGGUUGGAAAAGGUAGCUUCGGCCUCCGACCAAGGACGGGCCCGCGGCGGAUUAGCUUGUUGGUGAGGUAACGGCUCACCAAGGCGACGAUCCGUAGCUGGUCUGAGAGGACGAUCAGCCACACUGGGAUCGAGACACGGCCCAGACUCCUACGGGAGGCAGCAGUGGGGAAUCUUGCGCAAUGGGCGAAAGCCUGACGCAGCGACGCCGCGUGGGGGAAGAAGGCUUUCGGGUUGUAAACCCCUUUCAGGAAGGACGAAGCCACNNGGGUGAAUAGCCCAGAGGGUGACGGUACUUCCAGAAGAAGCCC